CUGACCUUCACACUCUCCUCACGCUUAGAUUGCACAGUGGUCAAAUGGAUCCUUCGUGAGAGCUCCAGUCUUAAACACGUCACAUAAUCAGAAGGGACUCUCCGUUUCUCCCAUUCCACAGAAUAAGCUCUAAGCUUCUCCAGGGUGGAGGACGGAUCGUUCCAUGGCAUGCAGGAUGGUGUGGAAAUGAGGACCACGGUAGGGGAGCUGUUGACCUGCUUCCUUAACAGCCUGUUUUUCUGUUGCUGCUCGUUUCUGAGGCUCUGUGGGUUUUCUGCUGUAAACCAUGUUGCUUCUCUGCUUUCCCAUCGCCAGCCUUGAUUUAUGCUUGAACUGGUCUCUUAGUCCAUGAUUGCUCAUUUGUUUGCUUUCCACCCCCAUUAUUUUGUUGUUAUUGUUUCCUCUGUUGAUAUU
rnacentral:lncRNA from 1 species